GACGAACGCUGGCGGCGUGCCUAAUACAUGCAAGUAGAACGCUGAAGGAGGAGCUUGCUUCUCUGGAUGAGUUGCGAACGGGUGAGUAACGCGUAGGUAACCUGCCUGGUAGCGGGGGAUAACUAUUGGAAACGAUAGCUAAUACCGCAUAAUAGUAGAUGUUGCAUGACAUUUGCUUAAAAGGUGCAAUUGCAUCACUACCAGAUGGACCUGCGUUGUAUUAGCUAGUUGGUGGGGUAACGGCUCACCAAGGCGACGAUACAUAGCCGACCUGAGAGGGUGAUCGGCCACACUGGGACUGAGACACGGCCCAGACUCCUACGGGAGGCAGCAGUAGGGAAUCUUCGGCAAUGGACGGAAGUCUGACCGAGCAACGCCGCGUGAGUGAAGAAGGUUUUCGGAUCGUAAAGCUCUGUUGUAAGAGAAGAACGAGUGUGAGAGUGGAAAGCUCACACUGUGACGGUAUCUUACCAGAAAGGGACGGCUAACUACGUG
rnacentral:rRNA from 1 species